GAUGAACGCUGGCGGCGUGCCUAAUACAUGCAAGUCGAGCGAACGGACGAGAAGCUUGCUUUUCUGAUGUUAGCGGCGGACGGGUGAGUAACACGUGGAUAACCUACCUAUAAGACUGGGAUAACUUCGGGAAACCGGAGCUAAUACCGGCUAAUAUUUUGAACCGAAUGGUUCAAAAGUGAAAGACGGUCUUGCUGUCACUUAUAGAUGGAUCCGCGCUGCAUUAGCUAGUUGGUGAGGUAACGGCUUACCAAGGCAACGAAGCAUAGCCGACCUGAGAGGGUGAUCUGCCAGACUGGAACUGAGACACGGUCCAGACUCCUACGGGAGGCAGCAGUAGGGAAUCUUCCGCAAUGGGCGAAAGCCAGACGGGGCAACGCCGCGUGAGUGAUGAAGGUCUUCGGAUCGUAAAACUCUGUUAUUAGGGAAGAACAUAUGUGUAAGUAACUGUGCACAUCUAGACGGUACCUAAUCAGAAAGCCACGGCUAACUACGUG
rnacentral:rRNA from 1 species